rnacentral:misc_RNA from 1 species
GAUGAAGAACGCAGCGAAAUGCGAUAAGUGGUGUGAAUUGCAGAAUUCAGUGAAUCAUCGAAUCUUUGAACGCACAUUGCGCCCCUUGGUAUCCCGAGGGGCAUGCCUGUUCGAGCGUCAUUUCACCACUCAAGCCUGGCUUGGUGUUGGGCGACGUCCCCUUUAGGGACGCGCCUCGAAACGCUCGGCGGCGUGGCACCGGCUUUAAGCGUAGCAGAAUCUUUCGCUUUGGAAGUCGGGGCCCCGCCUGCCGGAAUACCUACUCGUAAGGUUGACCUCGGAUCAGGCAGGGAUACCCGCUGAACUUAAGCAUAUCAAUAAGCGGAGGA